rnacentral:rRNA from 1 species
UACGGGGGGAGCAAGCGUUGUUCGGAUUUACUGGGCGUAAAGGGCGCGUAGGCGGCCUCUGCAAGUCAGUUGUGAAAUCUCCGGGCUUAACUCGGAAAGGUCAACUGAUACUGCAGGGCUAGAGUGCGGAAGGGGCAACUGGAAUUCUCGGUGUAGCGGUGAAAUGCGUAGAUAUCGAGAGGAACACCUGCGGCGAAGGCGGGUUGCUGGGCCGACACUGACGCUGAAGCGCGAAAGCUAGGGGAGCGAACGGG